rnacentral:lncRNA from 1 species
CUUACGCAGAGUGUGACAAGCCUAAGCCAAAACCCACACCUCCUCCUUACUAUUAUAAGUCUCCACCACCACCAUCACCUAAACCAUACUACUACAAAUCCCCGCCUCCUCCUCCUCCAACUUACGUGUACAAGUCCCCGCCACCACCGGCUUACGUGUACAAGUCACCACCACCACCGGCUUACAUAUACAAGUCGCCGCCACCUCCUUCACCUAAGCCAUACUACUACAAGUCACCACCUCCUCCGACUUACGUCUACAAGUCUCCACCACCACCUGCUUACGUGUACAAGUCGCCUCCACCACCGGCAUAUGUGUACAAGUCACCACCACCUCCUUCACCUAAGCCAUACUACUACAAGUCACCACCUCCUCCGACUUACGUCUACAAGUCUCCACCACCACCUGCUUACGUGUACAAGUCGCCUCCACCACCGGCAUAUGUGUACAAGUCACCACCACCUCCUUCACCUAAGCCAUACUACUACAAGUCACCACCUCCUCCGACUUACGUCUACAAGUCUCCACCACCACCUGCUUACGUGUACAAGUCAUACUUGAGUGCAUUGAAGCCAUUAUCCUGAUCCUUAAUGAUACCGUCCAGAAUUUUGUGGCGGGUGACUACUACUCCACACCCCCCCCCCCCCCCCCCCCCCCCCCCCCGCCUCCUCCUUACUACUAUAAAUCCCCACCACCUCCUUCCCCAUCUCCGCCUCCACCAUACUACUACAAGUCCCCACCCCCACCAUCACCAUCUCCGCCUCCACCGUACUACUACAAAUCUCCCCCGCCUCCAUCACCAUCACCACCCCCUCCAUACUACUAAAUAUCUCCACCUCCUCAGUCACCAGGGCGUGGUUUACGCAAGACCCCCCCCCCCCCCCACCCCCACCCCCCCCCCCUCCAUAUUACUACAAGUCUCCACCCCCACCAUCACCAUCUCCCCCGCCCCCGUAUUACUACAAGUCUCCCCCUCCUCCAUCGCCAUCACCGCCUCCUCCUUACUACUACAAGUCCCCUCCUCCUCCGUCACCAUCUCCACCACCACCAUACUACUACAAAUCUCCUCCACCACCAUCUCCCUCACCACCUCCACCAUACUACUACAAGUCUCCACCUCCUCCGUCACCAUCUCCACCACCACCAUACUACUACAAAUCUCCUCCACCACCAUCUCCCUCACCACCUCCACCACACCCCUACAAGUGUCUACUACAAAUCUCCCCCACCACCAUCUCCCUCACCUCCACCACCGUACUACUACAAGUCCCCUCCCCCUCCAUCUCCCUCACCACCACCACCAUACUACUACAAAUCUCCCCCACCACCAUCUCCCUCACCUCCACCACCGUACUACUACAAGUCCCCUCCCCCUCCAUCUCCCUCACCACCACCACCAUACUACUACAAAUCUCCCCCACCACCAUCUCCCUCACCUCCACCACCGUACUACUACAAGUCCCCUCCCCCACCAUCACCCUCACCACCACCACCAUACUACUACAAGUCUCCCCCACCACCAUCUCCUUCACCUCCACCACCGUACUACUACAAGUCCCCUCCCCCUCCAUCUCCCUCACCACCACCACCGUAUUACUACAAAUCUCCACCACCUCCUUCCCCAUCGCCGCCACCUCCUUACCACUACAAGUCUCCCCCACCACCAUCACCAUCUCCACCACCACCAUACUACUACAAGUCCCCUCCUCCUCCCUCACCGUCACCACCACCACCAUACUACUACAAGUCCCCACCACCACCAUCGCCAUCACCCCCUCCUCCAUACCACUACAGCUCACCUCCCCCACCGGUGAAAUCACCACCACCACCGGCAUACAUCUACUCAUCUCCCCCACCACCAACCCACUACUAGGCUCAAACGCCUCGGCAACACACCACCAAUGUAAGUUCCAUAAUCAUUUCUCCAUUCCAUCAAACUCUAUAUUUCAUUCCUUAACAGCUUUUCUAACAGUACUACUUUCCAUUUCAGAUUUAAGAAUUGACGAUGUAAUAAAAGAAGGCUCCAAUCAUGGUCUGAUAAACCCAACAUCAUCAAUUAGUGCCAAUAAUAACAACAGCCGAUAUGGUUCAGUAUGCAGAGUUGCUAUCCUGCACAUGGCAAUCUUGCUGUGUUCAUCAUCAUCAUCAUCAUCAAGUGGAGUUUUGUUCAAGAAGACGACAUUUGGGAAAUUAAGCAACUAUUCUUAGUUAUCGGAUUUGAUGAUCAAUUGGGUUUGUUCAGAGUUUAUUUGUUUAGUUGAUGUAUGUAAAAUCUAUUUGUUAUUUAGUUUUCCAGCUUUAAUUUUUUGUUGGGGAGGAUUUGGGAAAUGCGUGCUUAAUUAUGUUAUGGAAAUGCUAAUAUUAUAUAAAUUAUUCAAUGUUUAUGUUUGGGGAAGCAACGCAACGCAACGCAAAAUUGAUGUAAUUGCAAUUUUUUAUUGGAGCUUCUUCUACUUAUGUUUGACCUCCCUGCAGAUUGCGAGUAAUAAAGUAAACCCAUUUCAUAUUCUGAUUUUUCGAUUCAAUUUCGAUCGAAAUUACUUACUCACAAAUAAACUUCACUUAGCUUCAAUCUUUAGUAGGCCACUACUGAUCACGACUAUCUUUACAUUGCCUAAAUCGUUCAGAAAUUUGAAUCAGACCGGC